rnacentral:rRNA from 1 species
UGGAUAACCUGCCCUUGGGUCCGGCAUAACCCCGGGAAACUGGGGAUAAUUCCGGAUAACGCACAUAUGCUGGAAUGCUUUAUGCGUAAAAUGGAUUCGUCUGCCCAAGGAUGGGUCUGCGGCCUAUCAGGUAGUAGUGGGUGUAAUGUACCCACUACCCUACGACGGGUACGGGUUGUGAGAGCAAGAGCCCAGAGAUGGAUUCUGAGACAUGAAUCCAGGCCCUACGGGGCGCAGCAGGCGCGAAAACUUUACAAUGCGGGAAACCGUGAUAAGGGGACACCGAGUGCCAGCAUCCUAUGCUGGCUGUCCGGGUGUGUAAAAUACACCUGUUAGCAAGGGCCGGGCAAGACCGGUGCCAGCCGCCGCGGUAACACCGGCGGCCCGAGUGGUGAUCGUGAUUAUUGGGUCUAAAGGGUUCGUAUCCGGUUUAGUCAGUCCUCCGGGAAAUCUGACAGCUUAACUGUUAGGCUUUCGGAGGAUACUGCCAGACUUGGAACCGGGAGAGGUAAGAGGUACUACAGGGGUAGGAGUGAAAUCUUCUAAUCCCUGUGGGACCACCUGUGGCGAAGGCGUCUUACCAGAACGGGUUCGACGGUGAGGGACGAAAGCUGGGGGCACUAACCGGAUUAUAUACCCGGGUAGUCCCAGCCGUAAACGAUGCUCGCUAGGUGUCAGGCAUGGCGCGACCGUGUCUGGUGCC